AAGCCUUGAGCUCUGAAGAAAAAAUGAACUUGAGUAUGAGUAGCAUAGAUGCGCAGAGCUGCAAGGGGCCUUGGAGCUCAUGAGCCGUGGCUGUUUACCAUAAGGAAGUUGGCAUCAAAAACUGGUGUACAGGUCCCCUCCUCAGAACACUUUUGCAAAGGCUGGAGAUUUGAUUUUAGAGCCGCAAAAUUCAGACACAGCCCAUCUUGUUGCUUAUAGUUGCGUCAAUCGGGCCAGUUUUAUAAGUAGACAGUGACUCUAUGGAGUUGGGAAGAGUCUCCUAUCCCCCUAAAACUUUCCCUGCCGAGCCCUCCUAUGGGUGGGAGUGCAAGCUGGUACAGCCACUGUGGAAAACAGUAUAGAGGUUCCUCUAAAAACUAAAGACAGGAGUUCCCGUCGUGGCGCAGUGGUUAACGAAUCCGACUAGGAACCAUGAGGUUGCAGGUUCGGUCUCUGCCCUUGCUCAGUGGGUUAAUGAUCCGGCGUUGCCGUGAGCUGUGGUGUAGGUUGUAGACGCGGCUCGGAUCCUGCGUUGCUGUGGCUCUGGCGUAGGCCGGUGGCUACAGCUCCGAUUUGACCCCUAGCCUGGGACCCUCCAUAUGCCAUGGGAGCGGCCCAAGAAAUAGCAACAACAACAACAACAACAAAAAAGACAAAAGACAAAAAAAAAAAAACAACAACAACAACAAAAAAAAAAACUAAAGACAGAGUUGCCACAUGAUCCUGCAACCCCACUCCUGGGCAUAUAUCCAGAAAAAAGCUAUAAUUCAAAAAGAUACAUGCACCUCUACGUUCAUAGCAGCACUAUUCACGAUAGCCAAGACGUGGAAGCAUCCUAAAUGUCCAUCGACAGAUGACUAGAUAAAGAAGAUGUGCUACAUUAUACAAUGGAAUACUACUCAGCCAUAAGAAGAAUGAAAUAAUGCCACUUGCAGCAACAUGGAUGGACCUAGAGAUUAUCAUACUAAGUGAAGUAAAUCAGACAAACACAAAUAUCAUAUGAUAUCACAUAUAUGAAAAAUCAAAAAUAUGACACAAAUGGACUUAUCCGUGAAACAUAAACAGACUCAUAGACAUAGAGAACAGACUUGUGAUUGCCCUGGGGAAGGGGAGAGAGGGGAGGGAAGGAUUGGGAGUUUGGGAUUAGCAGGUGCAUGCUAUUAUGUAUAGAAUGGACAAACAAAAAGUCUUACCAUACAGCACAGAAAAAUUAUGUUCAAUAUCCUGUGAUAAGCCAUACUGGAAUCCACUGAAUUCCUGCACUUGCUUGGUGUUGACAUUUGAAUCCAGUCCAAGAUGUUUUGCUUUUAUCCUGGGCAGCCGUGAUAUGUCAGCAACAGGCUGAGGUUCGGGACCUGGAAGCUUAGAGCGAAGAGAAGGCUCGGUCUUUCUCAAGAAGGGGUGUCUGAACUUUCGC
rnacentral:lncRNA from 1 species